GCAGCGGCGGAGCCGGAGCGGAGCCGGUGCAGAAGUAGGACGGCGAGGAGAAGGAGGAGGAGUAGGAAAAGGAGGAGGAGGAGAGGAGGUGGCCGGCUCUGCCUCGCCCGGCGGGGAGCCCAGCCCCUGGCCCCAGGGGGGAGCCGGGCAGGGCGGGGGCUGCUGCCGCUUCCUCCGCUCCGCCGCCUGCCCCGCGGCGGGGCCUGGCCCUGAGCGCGGAGGCCGCGGCCGGCCUCCGAGCUGGUGGGGACCUGGGGAGCCCUCACCUGGGGCUACACGUGGCCAGGAGGACAAUGAAAACCCUGUUUGCACCACAAACAAGGUGAGGCAGCCAGAGCCCGAUCUUUGCCUCUGUGUGCCGCUGUCCUGCUGGCAUGCUGGCUGCUCCUGUGGUUUCUCCUACGGAGGUGUUCACCAGCAAAAGAUGACUACCUACCUCUGCGCUGCCCAGCAGUCUGUGGAGCAGGGUUGCAUUUCCACGCAGCACUGUGCCUCCCCACCCACAGAGGAGCUUCCUUGAGACCCAGGUUCCCUGUGGGUUCUCCUCUGCAAGGGGCUGCAAGGUUAUGCUUGUGCUUAAGGCUGGACUAGAUUCUGCCAAUCCUGGAGGAUGAUGCUCCUGGCAAGACCAGCCUUCAGACAUGCCAGGCCCUGGAGGGCUGGAGGAAAGGCUGGGGCAAAGAAGAGGUACCCUUAGUGCAAGAGGCUCUCGCAGGAUACGGUGGAAGAAAAGGAGAUGAGAGAACACUUAAGCAAAGUGGAGAUGCGCAAGUCCCUGCUGGGAUGCACCCUCAAGUGCUGAGGGAGCAGGCAGGUGGGCUUGUGAGGCCACUGCAAAAGGGAGAUGUGCCUGAGGACUGGAAGACAGCAACCAUGAUGUGGACUGAUGUGCAGUGCAGUGGAUGGAAAUGUGGCUGAGUGGCUGGGCCCAGAGGGUGCUGACCAGUGGCACCAAGUGGAGUGGGAGGCAAGGAACCAGCAGUAAAGCCUAAGGCAAGGGGCACUGCCAGCAGGUGGAGGGAGGUGGUCCUUCCCCUCUGACCUGCUCUGGCCUCCCCAGUGCAGGAGAGACAUGGGCAUACUGGAGAGAACCCCCAGGCCAGGGCCCCCUCCAUGGCUCCCUCUCCCCCUCAAGUUUCCAUUGGGGUUGGAAACCAGAGACAGCAGAAUGGAGCUGUGCUGGCCUGGAGCAGCGCUGGGAGGAAGCAGGGUCUGGCCAAGCAGCACUGCCAUGGCACUAGCACCUGCAGCAGCACCAGCACCCCACUUCCGAUCAUUGCUGUUGCCGUUUGGGCCGCGUCCUUGGUGCAUGGCGAGGGCCCUCCUGUCCCGGGCGGGAUGGGCCAGGCCAACUGUUUCUGCGGCUCCAGGUGGGCUCUCCCUGUGGCUCAGUGACACACGGGCACAGGUGGGCCCUGCAGCAGCAGCCUUCCUUAUGCCUGCCACUCUCUGCUCUGCAGGGAGGCUCUCAGCGAUGCUGAGGCAGUGCUGAGCGCAGACGUGCAGCUGACCCGGGGCCGCAAGAGGAGCGAGAGGCGCCUUCUCCUCCUCCAGGAGGAAGUGGUGGCGCCAAGUUGCAGCAUGGCACCACCGUGCACCCACAGUUCUGCCUGGCCCUGGACCAGCUGUGGGUGCUGAGCAGCAGGAAGGAGGCAGCAGGGAAGAAAGAAGAAGAGGCAGAAGGCAGCAAUGAGGACAGGACCUCCCUUGUGUUCAUCUGACCCACCGGCUCCUGCAUUGCCGAUUUUGGGGUGGCUGACAAGUUGCCUGCAGCCAACCUCCUCCUCCUGAAGUGGCUGCUGUCCCUCCUGCAGCACAUUGGCCACAGUGUAGUCACCAGGAGGAUAAGCUGCGGCAACCUGGCCAUCUGCGUUGGGCCUAACCUGCUGAGCCCACCCAACGAGGAACUGCUCAUGCUGGAGGCCAUGCUGGAGGUCACUGAGAAGGUGUAUCGAGCAGCUGGCGGCAGCCUUCCCAGCCCAUCAGAGCUUGGCUGCUCCAAGGUCUCGGGAUGCCUCCUCCCUUGAGCAAAUGCUGCUGGUCCGUUCCUGGCUGCUGCCUUGAGAGCAAGGGCUUGAUGUGUGCAGUGAAGGUGCUGGUGGAGUUUCUGGUGGAGAGCUGCAGGGAACUCUUUGGGGGGAAGAUGAGUGACUGUUCUGUCUACGAGCCGAAGGGUUUCCAGCCCCCGUGGAGAGAUCCAGAGAUAAGAGGAGGGACUGAGGGUUAUCACAGGCUGGGCUAGGGAUGCCAGAAGCCUCAGCAUCAUUUCUGGCGGGGCUGGGCAUUGAGUGUUGUCCUCUCAGCGCUGUUUGUCCCGUGGCCUCUGUUUGGCCACUGCCUCUUGGGGCAUGAGCCCUUUGCUUGGCAAGAUGAGCUGAAGCCUGCAGAGAGGGCAUCAGAGGGCUGAAAAGAGAAGUGAUGUAGGUCUUCAGGUGGGUUUUGCUUGAGGUGAUUUUUACUUCCAAGAAGCUGCUUUGCUGCACAUGGUUUUUCUUUCUAGAUGUGUUUGGAAUAGCCAAGUAUUCCUGCAGCCGAAGCAGACACUGAGCAUCAGGCAGAAGCCUUGCUGCACACACCCACACCCACACACACACCCCUUCGUUUGCCCUCGCAGCUGGAGGAGAUAUGGUGCUGGAGGCUGAAAUGGGAGAGGUGUGCCAGGUCCCAAACUCUGGCAGCGUGUCUGGUGUAGGAGGGGAGUUUGUGACAAGGCCAAGUGGCUGCUGUGCCUAUGCCUGUGCCUGCAGUGGAGCUGCUGUGUGCCUGUGGUAUUCCUCUGGCCGGCCGGGACGAUACACAGGAAGGAAAACUGGCAAGACUGUUUCUUAAAUGCACUAGGCAUGUGCUUAUUCAAACACAGUGGCCACAAAAAAGCUACAAAAAAGACAGAGGGGAGUAGCUGGCAACUGCCGAAGGGUUUUGCUCAGGUCCUACUUUGUCAGAACUUCAUCAAGUCUAUUUGGGGUGAACCUCCUCUGGAGAGGAGGGAGCUCCUCUGGAGAGCUAAGGUAGCAAUUUGGCAAGUGGUCACUUAUCGCUUCAGGUCAUCUCUUGCCACCUGCCAACUCCAAUAUUUCCAAUGAAGGCACCUCCAGCUUUGACUCCCUCCACCCUUGAGAGCACGGCAGGCUCAUUGGGGUGCCCAGGAGAACUGGCAAGCCUUUUGGAAGAGAGAAGGUAAAAUGGGCUUGCUGUGGUUAAAAUGAGUACUGACUCCAGUGUAUCAUGGCUUUCCCUAAUGAAUAGCACUGUAGGAUGGAAAGGUUUGCAGGAUCUCCCCGGGACAAGGGAAACAGAAGAAACUGAAAGAGAAAAGAUGCCUGGGGAGAGGAGAGUGAAAGCCAUGCAGAAAAGAAGAGGAGGAAGAGAGAAAAAGUUCUGGGCAACAGAGCAGUGAAAAGAUGCAGGAGGGUGCAGCAGGUCCAGAAUCCCAGGUGUGUAGCAGGCCCUGCUGCCCAUUUUUCCCAACUCUCCACACUGCUCUAAGUCAGUGCAACUUGCUGGCAAAGGGCGGUGAGGGAUGGUGCUGCACAGGGUUUGGAAAGGCCUCCAUGGCAGCUCCCCAGGGGCUCCCAAUGGAGCCCUGCUGCGUGGCACAGGGGCACUGUGCAUCUUGGCACACGCACAGAUCUCUAAGGGCAUCACCCAUAAGGAUAAGGAUAAGGCAACAGAGCCAUUGUGUAGGCAAUACCAGCACUAGCUUUCUCUUCUGGGCUAGGAAGAAUUUCUGGCAAAUGGUGUUCCCCAAAAUUGAGGAUAACAAAAUUCUGCCUCUUCCUGCCUUGGUGGAUUCCUCAGAGCUUUCUGACUCUGUCGUUGUAGGUGCCUACUCAUUUUCCCCAGCUGACCUGCUGUGCCUCGUGGGGCCCUGCACCUGGUGUCCCCAAUAAAAUUAUCUUUUCUCUCUUC